GAGUGCAGCGUCUCCGCCGGCUCCCUGUCCGUGGCCAGCACGCGGUACUUACGGACCAGCUGGAACAGGACAUCCCUGUCAGUGUGCUGGGAUCUGGGGCUGACCAGCUAGAGAGAGACCAGCUGCUCAACAAGAGGUGGGAAAUGAAGUGAGCAAUGGACAAGGAGCUUUGAAAUCUGCUCAUAUUGGCAUGGCUGAAUUGUAUUAACACAUCACCUGGAUGACAGCAUGUGAAAUACAAGACUUCACAGAGGAUUUUCCCACCUGUGCAUUUGCGAUAAAGAGUUGAUUUUACAUAAGAUCUCAUCAGUGUUCCUGAGUCAGCAUGAUUGUUCUGGACUUCCUGGCAUUCCGACAAACUGAGCAAGGAAGGUUAUUCAGGAGCUUAUGGAUGCUGGUAUGGAUGGAAAGGGAAAGGAGACAAUAUGCUGCCACCUUUUGGUUACAGAAAUGAGAACAGGUAUGAUCUGGGCAGAUCUCUCAAGUGGAAAUUAAGACAUCUAUGCUUACCUUCUGUAAUAAAACAGCCUGAAAGCCCAGGGGCUGCAAGAUGCACCCCUUCAUAUUCUAAACUUUUGCUAUUUGCUUAGCUCACCUAUUUCACCUACAUUUUUUCAGUCUUGCUUGAACUAAUUAACAAUUAUCAAGCAAUAAUUGAUAAUUUAUCUAAUUUAAAACAUAAAGGCUUGAGUUCACACACCUAAAACUAACCCUUUACAUCAUUAAACUGAUUUGAGGAAUAUAGCUGCAAGAAAUAGAAGGUACAAAAUCUCACUAAUUAGUAGCCUGUAAAAUUAAGUGACUGCAUGUCAUGACUUCUGACACUUUCAUUACUGGUUUGUCAUCAGUACUUUACAAUUUAGCCUUAACUGUUUGAGUGAGAUUUUCUGUGCUGGCUGAUUGCUGAGAA